UCCCUGUUACCAGGGCGGUCUCCUCUGAAAUCCAACAGAGGACGAGGGUUGCGUUCGUUCAAGGACUUAACCUCACAUCUCACGACACGAACUGACGACGACCGUGCAGUACCUGUCUCGGGGUUCCCGAAGGCACGGUCCUGUUUCUAGGACGUUCCCCGGAUGUCAAACCCUGGAUAAGGUUCCUCGGUUAUUGUCGAAUUAAACCACAUGCUCCACCACUUGUGCGAGCCCCCGCCAAUUCCUUUGAGUUUUAGUCUUGCGACCGUACUCCCCAGGCGGCCAACUUGACGCGUUAGCUUCGCAACCGAGAGGGUCGACUCUCCCAAUUGCUAGUUGGCAUCGUUUACGGCGUGGACUAC
rnacentral:misc_RNA from 1 species